GUGGCCUUCUCUUGAUCCCUUAUCUUUUCCUUCUCAUGAAUUGUUUAAAUUUUCUAGUGAUCAGGGCCAAGUCCUCAUCUUCUUCACUGUUGUCUGAUUUUUUUGAGUCAUCUUCUUCUUGAGCUAUUGACUUGAGGGCUAUGGUCCUCUUUCUUCUGAUUUUCUCCUCAGUGUGCUGCUUCAUGAUCAGUUCAUGGGUCAUGAGGGAUCCAAGUAGUUCCUCCAAUGGUAGAACAUUCAAGUUCUUGGCCUCUUGGA
rnacentral:lncRNA from 1 species